GGACAGAAAGACCCUAUGAAGCUUUACUGUAGUUUGGAAUUGGGUUCGGGCUCUUCUUGCGCAGCCUAGGUGGGAGGCUAUGAAGAUAAACUUUUGGGUUUAUUGGGGCCAACAGUGAGAGACCACUCUAGAGGAGCUAGAAUUCUAAUGGCGUUCCUUGAAGCAGGACGCUUGACAGUUUCAGAUGGGCAGUUUGACUGGGGCGGUCACCUCCUAAAAGGUAACGGAGGUGUGCAAAGGUUCCCUCAGGCUGGACGGAAAUCAGCCGUAGAGUGUAAAGGCAGAAGGGAGCUUGACUGCAAGACCUACAAGUCGAGCAGGGGCGAAAGCCGGCCUUAGUGAUCCGACGGUUCCGAGUGGAAGGGCCGUCGCUAAACGGAUAAAAGUUACUCUAGGGAUAACAGGCUGA
rnacentral:rRNA from 1 species